AAACUCGUGAUUAUACCCAACGGAAGCCUGUAAAGACCUGCUGCUCACUCGAGGGUCAACACUGCCGUUCGUGCUCAACUUUGACUUUCGGGAAAGGAACCCUUAAGUAAAAGAGAACCAGAGUGGGAUUACGUGCUUCAGUAAACUCAAACGAAGAGGCUCAGAACAAUGUCAUCGCUCGUCACAAUCUGCUUCCUUGCGGCGUUGGGCAUGCUAACACUGAAUGCCGGUGCGAGCAAUCUUCAGGACUUGAGGCCUCCGCAGUGUGAGCAUGGAAUGGAAUACAGCACGUGCGAAACUGCAUGUCCUCGCAUAUGUGGCGAGCGCCAACCAUUAGCAUGCGCCGCUGUCUGCUUCCAAACCUGCAAGUGCAAAGAGGGCUUCAUUCGCUCUGGAAGCGCAACUGGGCCAUGUAUCCCAGAAGAUCAAUGCCAUCUUCUGCCGGAGGACAUACCUGAAGGAGCUACAUACCCGAAGGAGAAGGAGCUUCCACUAGAGCCUUGUGGUGAUUAGAAGGCGAGGAAACCGAUUCAAAUUGCACUCGUCUUGAACUGUUUUACAUGAGCAGAUUGCAAUAAACAUAGAAAGCGUG